rnacentral:rRNA from 1 species
GUGGGGAAUAUUGGACAAUGGGCGAAAGCCUGAUCCAGCCAUGCCGCGUGUGUGAAGAAGGCCUUUUGGUUGUAAAGCACUUUAAGCGAGGAGGAGGCUACCGAGAUUAAUACUCUUGGAUAGUCGACGUUACUCGCAGAAUAAGCACCGGCUAACUCUGUGCCAGCAGCCGCGGUAAUACAGAGGGUGCGAGCGUUAAUCGGAUUUACUGGGCGUAAAGCGUGCGUAGGCGGCUUUUUAAGUCGGAUGUGAAAUCCCUGAGCUUAACUUAGGAAUUGCAUUCGAUACUGGGAAGCUAGAGUAUGGGAGAGGAUGGUAGAAUUCCAGGUGUAGCGGUGAAAUGCGUAGAGAUCUGGAGGAAUACCGAUGGCGAAGGCAGCCAUCUGGCCUAAUACUGACGCUGAGGUACGAAAGCAUGGGGAGCAAACAGGAUUAGAUACCCGUGUAGUCC